AUCUCAACUCGACCUUUUGUCUAAGAUCAAAGUGUAGUAUCUGUUCAUAUCAGUUUAAUAUCUGAUAUGGUCCUUAUUUGGGACAAUCGAUAUUAAACAAAUAUCUCCGAGAAAUUAAAAUCUAA
rnacentral:snRNA from 1 species